rnacentral:rRNA from 1 species
GGACCCGCACAAGUAGUGGAGCAUGUGGUUUAAUUCGAAGAUACGCGCAGAACCUUACCAACACUUGACAUGUUCGUCGCGACUUUAAGAGAUUAAAGUUUUCGGUUCGGCCGGACGAAACACAGGUGCUGCAUGGCUGUCGUCAGCUCGUGUCGUGAGAUGUUGGGUUAAGUCCCGCAACGAGCGCAACCCUCACUUUUAGUUGCCAUCAUUUAGUUGGGCACUCUGAAAGAACUGCCAGUGAUAAGCUGGAGGAAGGUGGGGAUGACGUCAAGUCCUCAUGGCCCUUACGUGUUGGGCUACACACGUGCUACAAUGGUAUUUACAACAGGAAGCAAGACGGCGACGUCAAGCAAAUCCUCAAAAAAUACCUCAGUUCGGAUUGCACUCUGCAACUCGAGUGCAUGAAGCUGGAAUU